GCCGGUUUGGCGGAGCAGCUACGCAACAGACUGCAGAUCUGUACCACCUGGGUGCAAAUCCCAGAGCCGGCUCCA
rnacentral:tRNA from 1 species